GCAAGUCGAGCGAAUGGAUUAAGAGCUUGCUCUUAUGAAGUUAGCGGCGGACGGGUGAGUAACACGUGGGUAACCUGCCCAUAAGACUGGGAUAACUCCGGGAAACCGGGGCUAAUACCGGAUAACAUUUUGAACCGCAUGGUUCGAAAUUGAAAGGCGGCUUCGGCUGUCACUUAUGGAUGGACCCGCGUCGCAUUAGCUAGUUGGUGAGGUAACGGCUCACCAAGGCAACGAUGCGUAGCCGACCUGAGAGGGUGAUCGGCCACACUGGGACUGAGACACGGCCCAGACUCCUACGGGAGGCAGCAGUAGGGAAUCUUCCGCAAUGGACGAAAGUCUGACGGAGCAACGCCGCGUGAGUGAUGAAGGCUUUCGGGUCGUAAAACUCUGUUGUUAGGGAAGAACAAGUGCUAGUUGAAUAAGCUGGCACCUUGACGGUACCUAACCAGAAAGCCACGGCUAACUACGUGCCAGCAGCCGCGGUAAUACGUAGGUGGCAAGCGUUAUCCGGAAUUAUUGGGCGUAAAGCGCGCGCAGGUGGUUUCUUAAGUCUGAUGUGAAAGCCCACGGCUCCACCGUGGA
rnacentral:rRNA from 1 species